AGUGAACGCUGGCGGUAGGCCUAACACAUGCAAGUCGAACGGCAGCACAGUAAGAGCUUGCUCUUACGGGUGGCGAGUGGCGGACGGGUGAGGAAUACAUCGGAAUCUACUUUUUCGUGGGGGAUAACGUAGGGAAACUUACGCUAAUACCGCAUACGACCUACGGGUGAAAGCAGGGGAUCUUCGGACCUUGCGCGAUUGAAUGAGCCGAUGUCGGAUUAGCUAGUUGGCGGGGUAAAGGCCCACCAAGGCGACGAUCCGUAGCUGGUCUGAGAGGAUGAUCGGCCACACUGGAACGGAGACACGGUCCAGACUCCUACGGGAGGCAGCAGUGUGGAAUAUUGGACAAUGGGCGCAAACCUGAUCCAGCCAUACCGCGUGGGUGAAGAAGGCCUUCGGGUUGUAAAGCCCUUUUGUUGGGAAAGAAAAGCAGCAGGUUAAUACCCCGCUGUUCUGACGGUACCCAAAGAAUAAGCACCGGCUAACUUCGUG
rnacentral:rRNA from 1 species